rnacentral:rRNA from 1 species
AGGGCGCAUGGUGAAUGCCUUGGCACUAGGAGCCGAAGAAGGACGCGAUAAGCUGCGAUAAGCCUUGGGUAGCCGCAAAUAGGCUGAGAUCCAGGGAUUUCCGAAUGAGGAAACUCACAUGGGUAACCCCAUGUAUUAUGCACUGAAUACAUAGGUGUAUAAGGGUAAACCCGGGGAACUGAAACAUCUAAGUACCCGGAGGAAGAGAAAGAAAAAUCGAUUUCCUAAGUAGCGGCGAGCGAACGGGAAAGAGCCCAAACCAGAAACUUGUUUCUGGGGUUGUGGAUAGAUCAUAAAAGAAGAGGUAUCUUAAUCGAAGAGGGCUGGAACGCCCUACCAUAGAAGGUAAUAGUCCUGUAGGUAAAAAGAGAAAACUUUAAGAUCUAAUCCAGAGUACCACGAGACACGUGAAACCUUGUGGGAAGCAGGGAGGACCACCUCCCAAGGCUAAAUACUACCUAGUGACCGAUAGUGAAGCAGUACCGUGAGGGAAAGGUGAAAAGAACCCCGGAAGGGGAGUGAAAUAGAACCUGAAACCGUGUGCCUACAACCGAUCGGAGCACGUUAAAGUGUGACGAUGUGCUUUUUGUAGAACGAGCCAGCGAGUUACGCUAUGUAGCAAGGUUAAGUACUUAAGGUAUGGAGCCGAAGGGAAACCGAGUCUGAAAAGGGCGAAAAGUUGCAUGGUGUAGACCCGAAACCGGGUGACCUAUCCAUGGCCAGGUUGAAGCGAGAGUAAAAUCUCGUGGAGGACCGAACCACGUUGGUGUUGAAAAACCAUGGGAUGAGCUGUGGAUAGCGGAGAAAUUCCAAUCGAACUCGGAGAUAGCUGGUUCUCCUCGAAAUAGCUUUAGGGCUAGCGUCGUGUAAUUGAGUAAUGGAGGUAGAGCACUGAAUGGGCUAGGGGCUAUAGUAGUUACCGAACCCUAUCAAACUCCGAAUGCCAUAUACUUGUAUCACGGCAGUCAGACUGCGAAUGAUAAGAUCCGUAGUCAAAAGGGAAACAGCCCAGACCAUCAGCUAAGGUCCCAAAGUGUAAGUUAAGUGGAAAAGGAUGUGGGAUUUCUAAGACAACUAGGAUGUUGGCUUAGAAGCAGCCACUCAUUUAAAGAGUGCGUAAUAGCUCACUAGUCAAGAGAUCCUGCGCCGAAGAUGUCCGGGGCUCAAACUUACCACCGAAGCUAUGGGUGUACACUAUGUGUACGCGGUAGAGGAGCUUUCUGUAUGGGUUGAAGUCGUACCGUAAGGAGCGGUGGACUGUACAGAAGUGAGAAUGCUGGCAUAAGUAGCGAGAAAUAAGUGAGAAUCUUAUUGGCCGAAAACCUAAGGUUUCCUGAGGAAGGUUCGUCCGCUCAGGGUUAGUCGGGACCUAAGCCGAGGCCGAAAGGCGUAGGUGAUGGACAAUCGGUUGAUAUUCCGAUACCACCUAUUUACGUUUGAGAAAUGGGGUGACGCAGUAGGAUAAGAUGUGCGCACUAUUGGAUGUGCGUCUAAGCACUUAGGCAUGCUUGAUAGGCAAAUCCGUCGAGCUAAGCUGAGGUGUGAUGGGGAGCCAUUUAUGGCGAAGUAUCUGAUUCCACACUGCCAAGAAAAGCCUCUAUCGAGUGAAUAGGUGCCCGUACCGCAAACCGACACAGGUAGGUGAGGAGAGAAUCCUAAGGCCAUCGGAAGAAUUGCUGUUAAGGAACUCGGCAAAUUGACCCCGUAACUUCGGGAGAAGGGGUGCCUACGAAAGUAGGCCGCAGAGAAUAGGCCCAAGCAACUGUUUAGCAAAAACACAGGUCUCUGCUAAAGCGAAAGCUGAUGUAUAGGGGCUGACGCCUGCCCGGUGCUGGAAGGUUAAGGGGAACACUUAGCGUAAGCGAAGGUGUGAACUUAAGCCCCAGUAAACGGCGGCCGUAACUAUAACGGUCCUAAGGUAGCGAAAUUCCUUGUCGGGUAAGUUCCGACCCGCACGAAUGGCGUAAUGAUUUGGGCACUGUCUCAACAGCAAAUCCGGCGAAAUUGUAGUGCAAGUGAAGAUGCUUGCUACCCGCGAUUGGACGGAAAGACCCCGUAGAGCUUUACUGUAGCUUAGCAUUGAAUCUCGGUAUUGUCUGUACAGGAUAGGUGGGAGACUUGGAAACUUGGGCGUCAGCCUGAGUGGAGUCAUCCUUGGGAUACCACCCUGACAGUACUGGGGUUCUAACCGGCGGCCAUGAAUCUGGUCACGGGACAUUGUUAGGUGGGCAGUUUGACUGGGGCGGUCGCCUCCUAAAAAGUAACGGAGGCGCCCAAAAGUUCCCUCAGCGCGGUCGGAAAUCGCGCGAAGAGUGCAAAGGCAGAAGGGAGCUUGACUGCGA